UCCGGUUUGACACCGGCAGUCUCGCUAGAGUACUCGGCAUUACCCGUGAGCAACUAACGACAGGGGUUGCGCUCGUUAAGGGACUUAACCCGACACUUCACAGCACGAGCUGACGACAGCCAUGCAGCACCUGUGAUCGUUCCACCCUUGCGGGUGUCACCCCUGUUUCCAGGGGCUAAUCCGACCAUGUCAAGCCCAGGUAAGGUUCUUCGCGUUGCCUCGAAUUAAGCAACAUGCUCCACCGCUUGUGUGAGCCCCCGUCAAUUCCUUUGAGUUUUAGCCUUGCGACCGUACUCCCCAGGCGGCACACUUAGUGUUUUUACUGCGACCGAGCCCGCGUCAAAGCGACCCCGAUCUAGUGUGCAUCGUUUACGGCGUGGACUAC
rnacentral:misc_RNA from 1 species